CAAUAGCGUAUAUUAAAGUUGUUGCGGUUAAAAAGCUCGUAGUUGGAUUUCUGCCGAGGACGACCGGUCCGCCCUCUGGGUGAGUAUCUGGCUCGGCCUGGGCAUCUUCUUGGAGAACGUAGCUGCACUUGACUGUGUGGUGCGGUAUCCAGGACUUUUACUUUGAGGAAAUUAGAGUGUUUCAAGCAGGCAUACGCCUUGAAUACAUUAGCAUGGAAUAAUAGAAUAGGACUUGGUUCUAUUUUGUUGGUUCUAGGACCGAAGUAAUGAUUAAUAGGACAGUUGGGGGCAUUCAUAUUCCAUUGUCAGAGGUGAAAUUGCUUAGGAGUUUAACUGGAAAGAUGAACUUCUGCGAAAGCAUCUGCAAGGAUGUUUUUCAUUGAUCAAGAACGAAAGUUAGGGGAUCGAAGAUGAUCAGAU
rnacentral:rRNA from 1 species